GCCUUCGUGGUGUAGUGGUCAGCACUUUUGACGCGUAACCGAGAGGUCCGUGGUUCGAUUCCCGGCGAAGGGG
rnacentral:tRNA from 1 species